CAGUCGCCGCGGUAAUACGUAGGGUGCAAGCGUUAAUCGGAAUUACUGGGCGUAAAGCGUGCGCAGGCGGUUAUUCAAGACAGAUGUGAAAUCCCCGGGCUCAACCUGAGAACUGCAUCUUAUACUGCGUAGCUGGAGUGCAGUAGAGGGUAGUGGAAUUUCCGGUGUAGCGGUGAAAUGCGUAGAUAUCGGAAGGAACACCAGUGGCGAAGGCGGCUACCUGGACUGACACUGACACUGAGGCGCGAAAGCGUGGGGAGCAAACAGGAUUAGAUACCCCUGUAGUCCCUGUCUCUUAUAA
rnacentral:rRNA from 1 species